rnacentral:rRNA from 1 species
UACGGGGGGGGGCAAGCGUUGGUUCGGAAUUACUGGGCGUAAAGGGCUCGUAGGUGGCCAACUAAGUCAGACGUGAAAUCCCUCGGCUUAACCGGGGAACUGCGUCUGAUACUGGAUGGCUUGAGUUCGGGAGAGGGAUGCGGGAAUUCCAGGUGUAGCGGUGAAAUGCGUAGAUAUCUGGAGGAAUACCGGUGGCGAAGGCGGCAUCCUGGACCGGCAUUGACGCUGAGGAGGCGAAAGCUGAGGGGAGCAAACGGGG